AAUCAGAGAGUAGUUUCUUCUUUUAGUUGUGCCAUUUCAAGUUUAGCGUGCACUUUUUUUCAGUACAAGGAAAACUGCCAGACUUUAUACAAAAAUUUGGACAUAAAACUCUACAACAAGGAGAAGAUUUAAUCCUGCAUUGCACUGUACAUGGAAGACCCAGACCAAAUGUCGUUUGGACUAAGGAUGCUAUCCAAGUGGUAGAUGGAGACAUUAGUAUUGAUAAAUUAGGAGACAGCUAUUACCUUUUAAAAAGAAAUGUUGUCCUUGCUGACACUGGGAAAUAUGUCUGUAUUGCCAGCAAUGAAGUUGGAGAGGCACACUGUUCAGCUUUCCUAAAAGUUGUAGGUGAUUCUCUCUCUCCAAAUGCACAUUUUUAGGUACAUUCAUAUAAUAAACAAGAGUCUCAUUCCUGCUUUCACUGCUGUACAGAUCUUGUUUCAGAGAAAAAUAUCAAAGCAGCUAUUACCACUGUAACUGAAACAAUCAAAAUGGGAUGAAGCAAGUUUGUCAGUAAAAGUGAGUGUCACUACCACUGAAGUAGUCAAAGGUCAAGUCAUGUAUCAGAUGACAGGUCAAAGGCAAAUGGCAAAACAUUGGUCACCUACGUUUAUGACUUAAGCAUAGGGCACUGUUUUCUUAAUUUCACAAAAUUUGGCAUAAUGUUAAGGAGCUAUUUAACCUGUCAUCUGUAUUUAUUUUUUUUAUCUGGCAAUAUACCAAUCAUAAGACCUUUUCAUAAUGUAAUUAAUGUACCCUGUGAUAUAGAAUGUAUGUAAAAUAUUCUGCUUUAGUCAAAACUCUUAUAAUUUUGUAUCUAAUAAAAUCUCCAAGCAGGAAUGUCUCAAAGGCAUUUUUGGAAUAAAGAGCGGUACAAAACUUCA